GUACUUGCUUUGGCAUCACAUAUACUAAAAAACUGGAACCAUACAGAGAAGAUUAGCAUGGCCCCUGACCAAGGAUGACACAAAAAUACAUAAAAUAUUCCAUUUUUUU
ensembl:snRNA U6 U6 spliceosomal RNA